rnacentral:rRNA from 1 species
GAGUUUGAUCGUGGCUCAGAUUGAACGCUGGCGGAAUGCUUUACACAUGCAAGUCGAACGGCAGCACGGGGGCAACCCUGGUGGCGAGUGGCGAACGGGUGAGUAAUACAUCGGAACGUGCCCAGUCGUGGGGGAUAACGUAGCGAAAGCUACGCUAAUACCGCAUACGAACUGAGGUUGAAAGCGGGGGAUCGCAAGACCUCGCGCGAUUGGAGCGGCCGAUGGCAGAUUAGGUAGUUGGUGGGGUAAAGGCCUACCAAGCCGACGAUCUGUAGCUGGUCUGAGAGGACGACCAGCCACACUGGGACUGAGACACGGCCCAGACUCCUACGGGAGGCAGCAGUGGGGAAUUUUGGACAAUGGGCGCAAGCCUGAUCCAGCCAUUCCGCGUGCAGGAUGAAGGCCCUCGGGUUGUAAACUGCUUUUGUACGGAACGAAAAGGCGCGGGUUAAUACCCUGUGCUGAUGACGGUACCGUAAGAAUAAGCACCGGCUAACUACGUGCCAGCCGCCGCCGUAAU